AUUGAACGCUGGCGGCAUGCCUUACACAUGCAAGUCGAACGGCAGCACGGGUGCUUGCACCUGGUGGCGAGUGGCGAACGGGUGAGUAAUACAUCGGAACGUACCUUAUCGUGGGGGAUAACGCAGCGAAAGCUGUGCUAAUACCGCAUACGCCCUGAGGGGGAAAGCGGGGGAUCGCAAGACCUCGCGCGAUUAGAGCGGCCGAUGCCUGAUUAGCUUGUUGGUGGGGUAAAAGCCCACCAAGGCGACGAUCAGUAGCUGGUCUGAGAGGACGAGAAGCAACACUGGAACUGUGACACAGCCCAAACUCCUACGGGAGGCAGCAGUGGGGAAUUUUGGACAAAGGGGGCAACCCUGAUCCAGCAAUGCCGCGUGAGUGAAGAAGUCCUUCGGGUUGUAAAGCUCUUUUGUCAGGGAAGAAACACCGGCUCUAACACAGUCUGGGAAUGACGGUACCUGAAGAAUAAGCACCGGCUAACUACGUGCCAGCCGCCGCCGUAA
rnacentral:rRNA from 1 species